AGCAAGAGCAGACUUUUGACGAAAUUUCCGUUUGCGGCUCAAGGCUAGCUGUCGAGGUGGCAUCGUACCUUGACAAUAUCGGAACGAAAAACUUCAAGUUGAGUUUUAUCGGUUUCUCUCUCGGCUGUGUCUUGGUCCGCGCUGCGCUAACUUGCGCUCAGAUGAGACCAUACAUAAGAAACUUGCACACGUUCUUUUCCAUCAACGGACCACACCUGGGCGUCGUGUACGUCAAGAACAGAUUCCUCAGGUUCCAAAUUUCAGUCUUGUCCAAGAUAAAGAUGAAGGGAUCGAUGAAGGAGCUGACGUUUCAAGAUUCGGCGGACCUACGCAGGUGCUACCUGUACAUUCUCAG
rnacentral:lncRNA from 1 species